rnacentral:lncRNA from 1 species
GGGGGAGCAAUUAAUAAAGAGAUAGAGACAAUUUACCAAGAAUCUAUUUCACAAGUGCACAUAGGCAAUUCAUCCUUAACCUCUGGGCUGUUUCACACGUGUGCAUGGGCAAUGUGAAAAGGUCGUUUUCUUAAAAUUACCGUUACGAAACUUCGUAACCGCUAUUGUGUUUUCUUUAACUGUUAAGUCGUACCUCUUAAC